UGCGGAUUAGCUCCAUCAGUAGAGCAUAAGACUCUUAAUCUCAGAGUUGUAGGUUCGAGCCCCACAUUGGGCAA